rnacentral:rRNA from 1 species
AUACGGAGGAUCCAAGCGUUAUCCGGAAUCAUUGGGUUUAAAGGGUCCGUAGGUGGAUAAUUAAGUCAGAGGUGAAAUCCUGCAGCUCAACUGUAGAAUUGCCUUUGAGACUGGUUAUCUUGAGUCAUUAUGAAGUGGUUAGAAUGUGUAGUGUAGCGGUGAAAUGCAUAGAUAUUACACAGAAUACCGAUUGCGAAGGCAGAUCACUAAUAAUGUACUGACACUGAUGGACGAAAGCGUGGGUAGCGAACAGGAUUAGAUACCCUAGUAGUCC